UUAAGAUGAUAGACAUAUCAAAUAUAGAUCGUUGUGUGCUAUAUAGGUUGGUUGGCCUCUUAACCAAGGAGCGUGGAGAUGCUGGUAUGGUAUGCAGGUGAAAUAUAGGAGUACAUUUCACUGAAUGUGAUCAACUCCAGAGUACUCUGCUAUCAAGAGUCACUCUGAAAGGAUAUAGGUAUAAAUAUCCCUCCGACCAG
rnacentral:lncRNA from 1 species